GUACACUCCUGCGGGAGGCAGCAGUGGGGAAUAUUGCACAAUGGGCGCAAGCCUGAUGCAGCCAUGCCGCGUGUAUGAAGAAGGCCUUCGGGUUGUAAAGUACUUUCAGCGGGGAGGAAGGCGAUAAGGUUAAUAACCUUGUCGAUUGACGUUACCCGCAGAAGAAGCACCGGCUAACUCCGUGCCAGCAGCCGCGGUAAUACGGAGGGUGCAAGCGUUAAUCGGAAUUACUGGGCGUAAAGCGCACGCAGGCGGUCUGUCAAAUCGGAUGUGAAAUCCCCGGGCUCAACCUGGGAACUGCAUUCGAAACUGGCAGGCUAGAGUCUUGUAGAGGGGGGUAGAAUUCCAGGUGUAGCGGUGAAAUGCGUAGAGAUCUGGAGGAAUACCGGUAGCGAAGGCGGCCCCCUGGACAAAGACUGACGCUCAGGUGCGAAAGCGUGGGGAGCAAACAGGAUUAGAUACCCGUGUAGUCCCAUG
rnacentral:rRNA from 1 species